AAAAAAAAAAAAAAGUAUUAAAAAUGUGACACGCUCCAUCUAGUGUCUUACCUGAGCCAUGAGCCUGAACUGCCAUGGGAUGGGCUGUGCUGUGCAGUGGGGACAUCAGCCCCGAGUCUCUUUAGGGACAGUAAUGGGGCAGUGUUACUGACACAGUCACAUCCCCACAUCCCUCCUGCUGUGUGCCAGCAGCAGACCUGCACUGUAAUGUGGGAGCAGCACUGGGGUGAGAAUGCACUUGAAGGACUUGGGAGAGUGUUUCUCAGCGCAUGCAGAAAAUUAAAGAAAAAAGAAGUUUCAUUUGAGCAAUGGAUCACAAAAAAGAACCUGUUUGCUCUCCUGGAGGAGACCGAGCAGCUCCACAGCUGCGUUAUUGCCAGUAACGAGCUCAGCACCGUGUAGCAGCUGCAGGUGAGCCACUGCCCCACACAGCAUGCAGCCGGGCUGAGGGGCAGCGUGCACAGAGCUGUCUUCAACGGAGGGGAAAAAAAGGUAGGCCAAGGGGUAAACACGCUAUUCUCCUGCAAUUUGCUCUGAAAUGUAAUUAGGAAAAAAAAUCCCUUUAGUGGUGUCUCAGAUGACCCUCAGAGCAGGGGUGCAGGGUGGGCGCACGGUGCUCCUUGCCGUGCCCUCAGGACUGCGCCCUGGCUGCGGUGAGGGGACGUGCCCAAGACACCCCGCACCGUCCGGCUGCGUCCUGAGCUGAGGCUGGGCCUUCAGGUGGCGCUGUGAGGACAUGUUGUGAGGCGGCGCCAUGUUGUCGCGUGACGCCGUGUUGUGAGGCGGCGCCAUUUUGUCAGGUGACGCCAUGUUGUGAGGCGGCGCCAUGUUGUCGGGUGACGCCAUGUUGUCGCCGGGCGCCGUAAGGUGAUGCCGCGUUGUGAGAUUGUCAUCAGAAUCUCCCAAGUAUUUCUAAUACCAAGAUGGGCUCCCACAAGGGCGGACUUGAUGACAGCUCAUUAAAGUUUGAAAUAAGUGGAAAACAUGGGCCUGUUGGACCUGCGGUUGUGCUGAAACAGUGUACAGCAGGAGUCCAAGUGGGAGAGGAAAUCUGUGUGUGACCAGUGACACCAGGAGAUAAAUAAGCAGCGGGAAUCAGUACGUGCUUCCUUGGAGCAGCCAAGAGAAGAUGCAUUCCCACGGUGUCAUCAAAGGAGCUGCAUCAUCCAGCACCAGAUUUUCCUAUUAACCAGAUCAACAGGCUGAGUCUGGCAGCUCUGUACACCAGCUCUCGUGACUCCAGCUGAUACAUUCACAUCAUGAGAAGGUCCGGACCAGGAGUGGUGCUGUUUGCUGCUGCCCGCACUGGAGGCCGUGCUCAGCGGGCAGAGUAGGAUGUGAGCUCUUUGAAAUUAGCCCUAGGUCAGCCACCAGCCAUGGAGAAAAGUUUAAUGUAGUUCUAGGAUUGAAGGAAAUUACACCGAAGCUCUUUUUCUCUAGAGAGAUUUUUAAUUUGAAUCAAAAUACAGUAUGUUUACAGCACAACAUUAGAAUCCGUGUUCCGAUAUUUCACAGUAUGUUAGUUUCCUUUUAUUAAUUAUAAAUAAAUUCUGAAUACUAGGACAGUGUUUUCAGAUGUACCAUAAAAAUGACUACUUACAACCAUUACUACAGAGAAACAAUUACAAAGGUAAGAAUGUAAACAUUUCAGCUAAAGUCUUCAAAAUUGCAGCAGGCACCACCUACCAUCGCAGGACCCAGCAAUGCAGGAACAGCACAGGACACAAGGCAAACACAGUCCAUUCUGAGUGUGCAUGUACCACAAAGGACCACAGAGAUCCCCUUAAACUGGGAGAACUGCUGCAGAAACUCAUAGAGCCAUUCUGAGGGACAGAUUUUGCGAGGAGCAGCACUGGGUGCCUGCAGCUGUUGUGUUUCUGUAGGUAACGCUGAAUGAAAAGAACUACCAGCCGUACCGUCAGGCCUCUCCCAGUUCUCCUUGUCCAGUUCCUCUGUGUUCCCACGUGCUUCUGCAUUGUACGCUGGUUUAUCAGAGGGUGGAGGCGGAGCUCUCCUCUUCUUCCCUCUGCCAUCAUUAGCACUUGCAGCAUGCAGAUUUUUCUGAACAACCAUCUCAUGAGAUCCAUCAAAGAGCGAAGCCCAUAAGGAAGAUGCGGGCUCUUUUUGCUGGCAAAGCAGGAACUCACCAUCUCUCUCUUCAAUUUUUCUUUGUAUGAUAUCAGCUAAGCCCUCAUGUUUCACUGGAGAAUCAAUGCCUGUAAUUUUAAGGGACAGCAAUUAACUCAAAUUAAAAUGCUACCCAUGACUUUA